rnacentral:sRNA from 1 species
CCAGACCUUUUUGUGGACAGCUCUUUUGCAAAGCCGUCCAGCCUGAAUAUUCAAUCUGACAUAAUGACUUACAUUCACAAAUUCUAAAAUUUUAAAUAUUUAAAAGAAAUAUUUUCUCAGAAACAUAACUAUGUUUCUUCAACUUGUGUCCUGGUAGAAGUUUUCUAAGGGGCAAGGAAGGUGUAAUGAAGAGAGAAGCAUGAUUUAUUAUUAACUGCUAUUGUGUAAAUGCAUACUUCUAAAGUAUUGAAAAUAAUCUUGUUAAUCUUAUGGUUAUACCACUUACAGUCUGCAAUUUAUGAUUACACUAUGAAUUUGCUCUAAGAGGAAGAAGUUUACAGAGUAAAAGUAAACUUCAGUGAAGCAUUUUAUAAGAUUUGUCAAAAUAAUUGAGAUUUUAUUGUACAAACCAGAAAAAUAUAAGUUUCAUUUUACCCAGAAUUAUGGAUGUCUUUUUAGGUGAAUGCUUGCAAUGAAGUUUAUGAAUUAAAGAAGAAAGUCAUGGAAAGGCUGGAGGACCUUUGCAAGAAUGUGGAACUGCUGAGUGCAAAGCUAAGGAUGUAUCAAAUGGAGGCAGAGGACACCGACUCUCACAGUUCUGAGGAAAUAGAUACGGAAGAGAUGGAGGCCCUGCUUCCUCAGGCCCCAGCAUCCUUUUUAGCGCAGAAGUCUCCUCCCCGCAAUACAGCAUGGAAACGUGCACUGAGGAUUUUCAUCAUGUUUUAUGUCCUCACCAUCACUGGACUUUUAUGUUACAUACUAUUUUUUGGUGCUACAUUUCUCUUUGAAAGGGUGCUUCUGAGAAUGCUUGGGUACCGCACCACAUGGGACCUACGGGAGAUGAGAGAGCCUUUCUUGAAUUUGGAAGUGGAAGCCUUGUUACCCUCCUAAAGAUACAGAAGUUACUGUCACCCUAC